GAAAUAUGUAAUUACAAUGAUAAGCUUCUAACUUAAUCUUUUAGCGAUGAAAAUUCGUUAAUAUUUCU
rnacentral:tRNA from 1 species